UGGUUCCUUGCCACUUCUUACCUGGGGGCGAUCCUCAGACCUGAAUAGCACUUUGGACAACUGAGUAGGACUUCGGGGUCUCCUUGUCACCUCUAAGGCCCGCUAGGAUGACAGUGAAGCAGUCACAGCCUAGAACAAAGAUGCCCGGUUAGGACCUAAGCGUACCGUCCAGAGCCUUGACAUUUACUCAGACCUGUGAAGAUCCUUUGCCACUCCUGGGGACCCCGCCUCCCCUGUGGGUCUCUGCCAGCUGCCCCUCUAUUUUUGAGGGUUAAUCUGGUGAUCUGCUGCUCUCCCUUCCUCAGACCCUUCCCCUCCCCAGGUUGGCAGGAGGCAUCCUUUCCCUCGCCACGGCUCAGUGGACCAGAAGGGAACGGGUACACAGGGUACACUAAGUGGGGUUUCCUGGUCCUACCUCAGGCAGCUCCAGUGGCAACUGCCCUUCUUAUGGGUCUAGGGUAGGUCCUUGGUGACGAGACGGGCUUCCCAGAGCAUCCCUGUGUGUGUGGUAUGUGGUGGUGGUGGGGGGUGGACUUAUCUGGGAUGGGGACCCCAGCCGCUGAAGUCCUCAGUGACUUGUCCCAUUUCUUAGUAGUUGUACAAGGAGUCAGGCCAAGAUGGUGCCUCGGGGGCUGAGGGAGCUCACAGGAACUGAGCAGUGACUGGUCCUUUCCCAGUAUUGAAUACUGAGCCCCUGUGGGUGUCGAAGCACUUAGUGGGUCUGGCCCCAACCCCAAACACCCCUGUUUCUGUAACACCCUGAGCUGGACUGUUUAUCUUUAGCCGGGAGAACAUGUAUUUUGGUCCCUUCCCUGUCUCCGCUCAGAUUGUAAACCUCCCACGUGUGGGGAUCACACCCUGCACUGUCCCGAAUCUUUACACCCUAUCCCAAAGCUGGUGCUCAAUAAAUACUUCUAGAUGAUUUGUAA
rnacentral:lncRNA from 1 species